GAUCUUGAACACAUUUGUCCACAUCAUCAGAUAAUUUUGAAGCCCUUAAGUAAACACGUGUAAUUUAGAUCUUAGGGUAUAUGACGUGCAUCGAAGGCAUGAAGCAUUUCCUUGCAGAACAAAGGGCUGCACUUCCUUCUAACAAAACAUGGAAAACAAAAAGAAAAAUAACAACAGAUUAGUGUUUGUAAGACAAAGAAAAAGGGACUCAAUAAAUCUCACAAGAAAAAAAAAACUUAAGUUUUUGUUUUCUAGGACAACUACAGAGCAAACAACUACUUGUAUUUUAAUUGGAGAGAUCUUUUUAGCCAAGGACAAUCCGCCUCGAAAAAACUUUUUGAUGAGGCAAAAAUACAUCUUCUUUGGCACUCUUAAUUAACAUAGACACUAGGAGCUCGUUUUUUAACAACAAAUUAUCACUCUUAGUUAGUCUAAAUAAAAGCAUGUUCAUAAAAAGGAGGAAAAUGAAUUAUAUCACUCUUAGUUAGUCUAAAUAAAAGCAUGUUCAUAAAAAGGAGAAAAAUGAUUUAGUAAAAUGAAACAUUUAAUAUUUGCAGCUCCAUAUGCAAGUAGUUAAGAAAUAGUUUUGAAGCAUAUUAAGAACCAAGCAAUUGAAUCCGAAGACCUUCUAAAAGAUGAUGGUAGCCCCAACAUCAAGUCCAUUUAAAGGUAUGCAAUAUUUUAUCAAGUUUAGAGGCGAAUCUACAAGGUUAGGGGCAAGUUAAAAUUGAACCUAUCAGUUUUGACAUAUACUAUCUACAUGUGAAAAUUUCUGAAAAGUAGUAUAAAUACUACUCCCUCCGUUUCAAUUUAUAUGAGGUAGUUUGACUAAAGAAAGAAAGAAAAAAGACUUUUGAAACUUGUGGUCUUAAAAGCUUAAGGGGUAAAAACUUUGUGGGGCCAUAAUAAUUGUGUGGUUAUAAAAGCUUCUCAUUAAGGGUAAAAUGAGUAAAAUGAAGAGUUUACAGUUGAAUUAUUUCCAAUUAUAGAAAUGUGUCAUUCUUUUUGGAACGGACUAAUAAGGAAAGUGUGUCAUCUAAACUGAAAUAGAGAAAGUAACUAUUAAGUUUUGAACCCAUAUUUUCAAAGAACUCAGAAUCCUGAUCCACACAUCUCAGCUCAAGUCUGUCCCAAAAGAGAAAUUCCAAAGCUCCUUAGGAUCAAUAUCUCACUAAUCGUUAUCAUCUAAUUGUGUUACAGGCUCUUCCGUAAGUUAGAUGGUGAUCACAACAGUUAUUUAACACCGUCAGAACUGGAGAAGCUAAUGGAAAAUAACAAAUUCAGAGAGGCAAACCUGGAUCACAAAACCUCUGUCAUGGAAAUCAUGAAGGAUUUCGAUCAAGAUAAAGAUGACAUGAUCAACGAA
rnacentral:lncRNA from 1 species